GGUACUAUUGAGCUCAAUGAAAAUAAUCAACUUUGUUAUCAUAAAUGUACGCAUGUAGCACAUAUUGGAAAUAAAAUGAAAGAGAGUCGUUUAAGAUGAUUUGGUCAUACACAAUGCAGAGAAUCAAAUGUGCUAAUACGGAAGUGCAAUAAGUUAGAAGGGGAAGGAGGAGGCCUAAAAUGAUUUUGGAGGGAGGUAGUAUUAAAUGAUUUACAAGUUUUGGAUAU
rnacentral:misc_RNA from 1 species